rnacentral:rRNA from 1 species
UACAGAGGUCUCAAGCGUUGUUCGGAUUCAUUGGGCGUAAAGGGUGCGUAGGUGGCGCCGUAAGUCAGGUGUGAAAUUUCGAGGCUUAACCUCGAAACUGCAUUUGAUACUGCGGUGCUUGAGGACUGGAGAGGAGACUGGAAUUUACGGUGUAGCGGUGAAAUGCGUAGAUAUCGUAAGGAAGACCAGUGGCGAAGGCGGGUCUCUGGACAGUUCCUGACGCUGAGGCACGAAGGCCAGGGGAGCAAACGGG